GAUCCCCUGCAUCAGCUCAUCCAGCUGUUCAGCAGAACAGCCCUAACAGAAAAAUGUAAACUGGAUGAGGAUCAUCUCUACAUGGCCUACGCAGACAUCAUGGCUAAGAGUUGCCAUGAUGAAGAGGAUGACGAUGGAGAAGUGAAGAGUUUUGAAGAAAAAGAGAUGGAGAAGCAGAAGCUGUUGUAUCAGCAGGCUCGGCUGCACGACCGUGGC